rnacentral:sRNA from 1 species
UCACCCAGUAACCCAGCCUAGAAACCUUGGCCAUUCUUGAUUUCUCCCUGUCCUCCACCUGUUUGCUCUCAAGGGGUGGGAAUGGUUGGCUCUGGAAUGGCCUUUGAUUACCUCUUCCCUCUGUCUCCCAGGCCUCCAGAGGCCCUUGAUGGCUCUCCCAGUGUCCUCUCUUCUCCAGGAACGGGCUACCUGUGCAGGCUGAUGGCCACCAUGUCCACCAGUCCCCAGAUGGCACGCUGCUCAUUUACAACUUGCGGGCCAGGGAUGAGGGCUCCUACACAUGCAGCGCCUACCAGGGGAGUCAGGCAGUCAGCCGCAGCACCGAGGUGAAGGUGGUCUCACCAGCACCCACCGCCCAGCCCAGGGACCCUGGCAGGGACUGCGUCGACCAGCCAGAGCUGGCCAACUGUGAUUUGAUCCUGCAGGCCCAGCUUUGUGGCAAUGAGUAUUACUCCAGCUUCUGCUGUGCCAGCUGUUCACGUUUCCAGCCUCACGCUCAGCCCAUCUGGCAGUAGGGAUGAAGGCUAGUUCCAGCCCCAGUCCAAAAUAGUUCAUAGGGCUGGGGAGAAAGGAAGAUGGACUCUUGGCUUCCUCUCUGUGGCUGGCAAAGGGAGUUAUCUUCUGGAAUACAUUAGCUCUUUCAAAAACCCACCCAGUGUUUAGCCUCAACGGCAGCCAGUACCAGCUUCCCUCUGUGCAGUAUUUGCAUCUCUGACAUAACCACAGGCUGCUUGUUGUCAAGAACAGCAAUCUGUUUGGAUAAGAAUAACCUUUAC